UUUGGAACCCCCUUGCUUAGAUAGCAUCAAACCUUGUCACUUAGGCAAGGGGCGGGGUUUCAAUUCCAAUUGAUGCUAUCCUCAAGAGAUGGGUUUUGGGUAGGAGGUGAGAUUUGAGUUAGAAAGAGGGUGAGCCUUGGAACAAUACCUAUAGAUCAUUAGUUUGAAAUAUAAACACAAUCUCUUUGUACUGGAGUAAGGCAACAUAUAUCUUAACCAUUCCAGACCUCACAGUGGCAGAA
rnacentral:lncRNA from 1 species